rnacentral:rRNA from 1 species
AGUAGGGAGGAAGGUAGUGUAGUUAACACCUGCAUUAUUUGACGUUACCUACAGAAGAAGCACCGGCUAACUCCGUGCCAGCAGCCGCGGUAAUACGGAGGGUGCGAGCGUUAAUCGGAAUUACUGGGCGUAAAGCGCAUGCAGGCGGCCUGUUAAGUCAGAUGUGAAAGCCCCGGGGCUCAACCUCGGAACUGCAUUUGAAACUGGCAGACUAGAGUACUGUAGAGGGGGUAGAAGUUUCAGGUGUAGCGGUGAAAUGCGUAGAGAUCUGAAGGAAUACCGGUGGCGAAGGCGGCCCCCCUGGACAGAUACUGACACUCAGAUGCGAAAGCGUGGGGAGCAAACAGGAUUAGAUACCCUGGAG